rnacentral:rRNA from 1 species
UACGGGAGGCAGCAGUGGGGAAUAUUGCACAAUGGGCGCAAGCCUGAUGCAGCCAUGCCGCGUGUAUGAAGAAGGCCUUCGGGUUGUAAAGUACUUUCAGUCGUGAGGAAGGUGUUAAGGUUAAUAACCUUAGCAAUUGACGUUAGCGACAGAAGAAGCACCGGCUAACUCCGUGCCAGCAGCCGCGGUAAUACGGAGGGUGCGAGCGUUAAUCGGAAUUACUGGGCGUAAAGGGCACGCAGGCGGUUAAUUAAGUUGGAUGUGAAAUCCCCGGGCUUAACCUGGGAAUGGCAUUCAAGACUGGUUAGCUAGAGUCUUGUAGAGGGGGUAGAAUUCCAUGUGUAGCGGUGAAAUGCGUAGAGAUGUGGAGGAAUACCGGUGGCGAAGGCGGCCCCUGGGACAAAGACUGACGCUCAUGUGCGAAAGCGUGGGGAGCGAAACAGGGAUUAGAU